rnacentral:misc_RNA from 1 species
AUUUCCUGACAAGGAAAAUGAUCAACCUUUAAUAGUUUGAUGAUCAUUGCUUACCUAUUACUAUAGAGAUUUACAAAAAAUAAAUAGAAGCAUAAAUAAGGAGAAGGAGAAGUAAACAAAUUAACUUGAUGUGACUACAAUGAAAGUGGAAGCCAUUUUUAUAAUAAGCUCAAUCCUAUGAAAUAAGACAAUUUUAUGCACAAAAGGAUUCAAAAAAAAAAAAAUGGCGUUCCCG